rnacentral:rRNA from 1 species
CGUGGAUAGCUGCGAUAAGCUUCGGGGAGUUGUUAACAAACUUUGAUCCGGAGAUUUCCGAAUGAGGAAAUUCACAUGGGGUCAUGCCCAUGUAUCAUUAUCUGAAUAUAUAGGAUAAUGAAGGGAACCUGGUGAACUGAAACAUCUAAGUAACCAGAGGAAAAGAAAUCAAUUGAGAUUCCCUUAGUAGCGGCGAGCGAAACGGGAAGAGCCUAAACCAUAUUUUUGUUCCAGUAUGUAGACGCUGAGAAUAUGGUGUUGUAGGGUAUUUUGUUAUUUUGCUACAUCAAAAUAGAUAAGUUACAAAAGUUUUUUCUAGUAGAAUGAUUUGGAAAAGUCAUCCAUAGAAGGUGAAAGACCUGUAUACGAAAGAAAAAAUUCUUAUUAUAAAUAUUCCUGAGUACUGCGAGACACGAGAAAUCUUGCAGGAAUCUGGGUGGACCAUCAUCCAAGGCUAAAUACCAUUGUAUGACCGAUAGUGAACCAGUACCGUGAGGGAAAGGUGAAAAGAACCCCGGGAGGGGAGUGAAAUAGAACAUGAAACUAUAUGCCUACAAGCAAUUGGAGGUCCUUUUUUGGACUGACAGUGUGCCUAUUGAAGAAUGUGCCGGCGACUUAAUGUAAGUAGCAAGGUUAAGCUGAAAGUGGAGCCGUAGCGAAAGCGAGUCUGAAUAGGGCGAUGAGUUACUUGCAUUAGACCCGAAACCUAGUGAUCUAUCCAUGGGCAGGAUGAAGCGUAAGUAACAUUGCGUGGAGGUCCGAACCAUUGAGUGUUGAAAAACUCUUGGAUGACCUGUGGAUAGCGGUGAAAUGCCAAACGAACUAGGAGAUAUCUGGCUCUCCUCGAAAUGACUUUAGGGUCAGCCUUGAGGUUAGGUGCUUGGAGGUAGAGCACUGUUUAGGCUAGGGGUGUCACCAACAUUACCAAACCUAGGCAAACUCCGAAUGCCAAGUUACCAUACUCAAGAGUGAGUCUUAGGGGGCUAAGCUCCUAGGACAAAAGGGAAACAACCCAGACCGUCAGCUAAGGUCCCUAAAUGUAUACUAAGUGGAAAAAGAGGUGGGAUUGCUUAAACAACCAGGAGGUUGGCUUAGAAGCAGCCAUCCUUUAAAGAAAGCGUAAUAGCUCACUGGUCGAGCGAUCCUGCGCUGAAAAUGUAACGGGGCUAAGUAUACUACCGAAGCUACGGGAUUCAUUUGAAUCGGUAGAGGAGCGUUCUGUAGUAGGUUGAAGUUAAACUGAGAAGUUUGAUGGACGAAGCAGAAGUGAGAAUGUCGGCAUAAGUAACGAAAAAAUGAGUGAGAAUCUCAUUCGCCGUAAACCUAAGGUUUCCUGGGGAAGGCUCGUCCGCCCAGGGUUAGUCGGUCCUAAGUCGAGGUCGAAAGGCGUAGUCGAUGGACAACAGGUUAAUAUUCCUGUACUACUAGUAAUCGUUAUUAGCGAUGGGGUGACGCAGUAAGAUAAAUCAGCCACUUAUUGGAUUGUGGUUUAAGCUUGUAGGGAGAAGAGAUAGGUAAAUCCGUCUUUUCAAUCCUGAGGAGUGAAUACGACCUGCUUGCAGGGAAGUGAUUGAGUCUACACUGACUAGAAAAACCUCUAGUGAGAUUGUCUGGUAACCGUACUAAAACCGACACAGGUAGGUGGGUAGAGAAUACCAAGGCGCGCGGGAUAACUCUCGUUAAGGAACUCGGCAAAAUAGCCUCGUAACUUCGGGAUAAGAGGUGCCCUAUGAUUGUGACUACCCUGCGGUAGAAGCAUGAAAGGGUUGCAAUAAAAUGGCUCAAGCGACUGUUUAUCAAAAACACAGGUCUCUGCUAAACCGUAAGGUGAUGUAUAGGGGCUGACGCCUGCCCAGUGCUGGAAGGUUAAUAGGAGGUGUCAAUCUUCGGAUGAAGCACCGAAUUGAAGCCCCAGUGAACGGCGGCCGUAACUAUAACGGUCCUAAGGUAGCGAAAUUCCUUGUCGGGUAAGUUCCGACCCGCACGAAAGGCGUAACGAAUUGAGCACUGUCUCAACGAGAGACCCGGUGAAAUUGAAUUAUCCGUGAAGAUGCGGAUUACCCAUAGCAAGACAGAAAGACCCCGUGGAGCUUUACUGUAGCUUGGCUUUGUUUUUUGGAAUAAUUUGUGCAGGAUAGGUGGGAGACUUUGAUAUAGUGUCGUCAGAUACUAUUGAGUCGUUGUUGAGAUACCACCCUGAUUAUUUCGGAAAACUAACUACGUUCCGUUAUCCGGAAAUAGGACAGAGUCUGGUAGGCAGUUUGACUGGGGCGGUCGCCUCCUAAAAGGUAACGGAGGCGCUCAAAGGUUUCCUCAAGACGGUUGGAAAUCGUCUGUAGAGUGUAAGGGCAUAAGGAAGCUUGACUGCGAGACGUACAUGUCGAGCAGGGACGAAAGUCGGACCUAGUGAUCCGGUGGCUCUGUAUGGAAAGGCCAUCGCUCAACGGAUAAAAGUUACCCCGGGGAUAACAGGCUAAUCUCCCCCAAGAGUCCACAUCGACGGGGAGGUUUGGCACCUCGAUGUCGGCUCGUCGCAUCCUGGAGCUGGAGUCGGUUCCAAGGGUUGGGCUGUUCGCCCAUUAAAGCGGUACGUGAGCUGGGUUCAGAACGUCGUGAGACAGUUUGGUCCAUAUCUGCUAUGGGCGUAGGAAGUUUGAAAGGAUCUAUUCUUAGUACGAGAGGACCGGAAUGGACAUACCUCUGGUGUACCAGUUAUUCUGCCAAGAGUAAACGCUGGGUAGCUAUGUAUGGAAGGGAUAACCGCUGAAAGCAUCUAAGUGGGAAACCCACCUUAAGAUAAGACUUCCCAUCUCUUUAUGAGAGUAAAACCCCUUGAAGAACACAAGGUUGAUAGGCUGGAUGUGUAAGCGCAGUAAUGUGUUAAGCUGACCAGUACUAAUCGGUUGAGGUUUUGACAGA